CCGGCACGGGUGAGUAACACGUAUCCAACCUGCCGUCUACUCUUGGCCAGCCUUCUGAAAGGAAGAUUAAUCCAGGAUGGCAUCAUGAGUUCACAUGUCCGCAUGAUUAAAGGUAUUUUCCGGUAGACGAUGGGGAUGCGUUCCAUAGAUAGUAGGCGGGGUAACGGCCCACCUAGUCAACAUGGAUAGGGGUUCUGAGAGGAAGGUCCCCCACAUUGGAACUGAGACACGGUCCAA
rnacentral:rRNA from 1 species